UAAACAUUUACAUCUGACCGUUAACAAUAAAAAUUCUGUGCAGAGCUAUCAUAUUUGUAGAAUUUGAUGUGGAAUAUUCGGUCACUGAAUACUUCUCUCUUUCUCUCGUUGUGUAUUGAGUAUUGAUGCUGCAAAAGAAGACGGAUCAUUUGGUAGUCUGGUUAAUGAUGACCACAAGCACCCAAAUGGCAGAAUGCAGAAGACUGAAGUGGAUGGAAGCCCACAUCUUGGUCUGUUUGCUUUAACAGACUUUAAAGAAGGUGAUGAAAUUACCUACAAUUACGGAGGAGGAGUCUGGCCUUGGUGUAGCAAGGUAAAACAUCUACUCUGAAAAAGAGGAAGGCUCAGGAAGGAAAUGAGGUCCAUGCAGUGGAGAGACAUAUGAAGACCUUCAUCAUGUCAUGUCGUGUCCCAGGGAAGUUGGUCUGUGAAAACUGCAUUAGAUCUGAGUCUUUAUAUCUUAAAGAUAGAGACUGGCAAAGUGUCAAAUUCUAUGUCUAUAACUGCACUGUAGCUUACAAAAGAGAUAUAAACAAAGAUUAAAUAACACUUUGAUAGUAACACUUUACAUCUAUAUUACAGAUACUGUACAUCAUAACAUCUGUAGUAAUGCUUUAAUAAUAAGUUACAUUACACCUCUAGCCUUUUACUUUGUAAUGAACCGCUCAGCAUUUACUUCAUCAUAAACUAAUCAGGAACAAAUCAGGCAUUUAAAAUAUCCAUUAGAAUCUUUACCUACACCGUUAUAUUGAAUUAGAUCAAAUUGGUUUGGGCCGCCUUCUUCCAGUGG